GUGGCAGCCGCGCGGUAAUACGUACAGCACUAGUGGUAUCCCCUAAUAUUGGGCCUAAAGCGUGCGUAGCUGGUUUGAAAAGUCUUUGGUGAAAUCAGCAAGCUUAACUUGUUGAAUUGCCAAAGAUACUGUCAAACUCGAGGUCGGGAGACGUGAAGGGAAUUUCUGGGGUAGCGGUGAAAUGUUGUGAUCUCAGAAGGACCACCAGUAGCGAAGGCGCUCCACGAGAACGAACCUGACAGUGAGGUACGAAAGCUGAGGGAGCGACCCGGAUUAGAUACCCGGUUAGUCUCAGCCGUAAACGAUGUGGACUAGGUGUCCUAGCACUCAUGAAGUGUCGGGGUGCCGAAGCAAAGGUGUUAAGUCCACCGCCUGGGAAGUAUACUCGCAAGGGUGAAACUUAAUGGAAUUGGCGGGGGCGCACUACAAGGGGUGGAUGCUGCGGUUUAAUCGGAUAAAACGCCAAACAUCUUACCAAGGGCGACAGCAGUUUGAUGUUCAGUCUAAAGGGCUUAACUGACACGCUGAGAGGUGUUGUAUGGUCAUCGUCAGCUCGUACUAUGAAGCGUCCUGUCAACUCAGGCAACGGGCGAGACCCACAUUUUUAGUUGCUACUUUCGGAUUUCCGGGGGGCACUCUAGAAAGACUGCAAGGGUAACCUUGAGGAAGGAGUGGGCAACGGUAGAUCUGUAAGGCCCGAAUCUCUUGGGCAACACGCGGCAUACAAUGGUCAAAACAAUGAGUUUCGAGCCCGAAAGGGUAAGGUAAUCCCCUAAAUUUGACCACAGUUCAGAUCGAGGGUUGUAACUCACCCUCGUGAAGUUGGAAUCCCCAGUAAUCGCGUGUCAUUAUCGCGCGGUGAAUAUGUCCCUGCGCCUUGCACACACCGCCCGUC
rnacentral:rRNA from 1 species